CGGGACGCCGUACAGGGUCCCGCCACUUGAGACGGGCACCGGUCGUGUCCGGUGCCGCUCGUAACCAUUUUGCUCCCAGGAGGAUCUGGCUAUGCGCA
rnacentral:sRNA from 1 species